rnacentral:rRNA from 1 species
CCUACGGGGGGCAGCAGUGAGGAAUAUUGGUCAAUGGACGAGAGUCUGAACCAGCCAAGUAGCGUGAAGGAUGACUGCCCUAUGGUUUGUAAACUUCUUUUAUAAAGGAAUAAAACGAGGCACGUAUUCCUUUUUGCAUUUACUUUAUGAAUAAGGGUCGGCUAACUCCGUACCAUCAGCCGCGGUAAUACGGAGGAGCCGAGCGUUAUCCGGAUUUGUUGGGUUUAAAGGGAGCGUAGAUGGGUUGUUAAGUCAGUUGUGAAAGUUUGCGGCUCAACCGGAAAAUUGCAAUUGAUACUGGCAGUCUUGAGUACAGUUGAGGAAGGCGGAAUUCGUGGUGUAGCGGUGAAAUGCUUAGAUAUCACGAAGAACACCGAUUGCGAAGGCAGCUUACUAAACUGUGACUGACAUUGAUGCUCGAAAGUGUGGGUAUCAAACAGGAUUAGAUACCCCGGUAGUC